rnacentral:rRNA from 1 species
CAAUUGGACCUGAUAUCAGGCAAGAUUACCCGCUGAACUUAAUCAUAUCAAUAAGCGGGAGGA